rnacentral:ncRNA from 1 species
CUUAUCAAGAGUGGCUGAGGGAACAGGCCCUGUGAAGCCCGACAACCUGCGCUGGAGUUUUCGGCGUAAGGUGCCAAAUCCUGCGGAUGAUCCGAAAGAUGAGG